CAGUACUCCGUCACAUCUGGCAUUGUGAUAAGCAUUCGCCCGCGUACCAUUUACUGUAAAGGUGCUAGAUACUCUUGGCGAUCCGAGUUGUGGAAAAUCAGGAGGUGGAACGAACCACUGUUCUACCGGAAAAUGAGCUUGCUGAAUAUAACAAUCAAUUGCUGUUCCUCAAACUUCCACCCCCUAAGCUCUGAUGAACACCAGUUACUACUAAGCCAACAAAUCCCCUCAAAGAUGGCGGGAAACAAGCUGCCACUGUUACUGUACAUCCCGAGGGAGGCAGACAAGAAUGACUUCUGUCUCCAGGCCUAGCGUCACUCAGGUUGGCUGAGCGAGAUGGAAUGGCUGAAGGGAGCGUGUGUAGCACGAUCCCCACCUCCACUCCACCUGAGUCCGCCCCCACAUUCACCUCCACCGUCUUCUGUUUACGUCAUCCACACGAACCUCAGCUCAGUUUCCACUCUAAAUAAUCAAGUGGGAUGCAGGAGAAUAAAACAAUGUACAGCUACUGAACUUUGUCAAGUCUACCUUCCUACGACCAAUGAAACUCGAGUAUGUUAAAUUGUACCGUUUGUUCCCUUCCUCUCAAAUUUUACUUUUCUUUCCAGUCAGUGUGAAGGAGGAAACAAAACAAUGUACAGCUACCGAGGCUUGUACAGUCCACCUUGCUACGAUCAAUGAGACUCGAAUGUGGAAACUUGUACGAUACUUUAACAUGUAAACUAAACUUGAAGCGUACGUUCUCCUCUAUCUGGCCUUCCCUUCUUCCUCCCUUCCUGUGCGAAACGAAAAUAAAAGUGCGCGUUGGUACCAAAAUUUGCACAGGCAGUAUCUGCAAGGACUACUGAGGUGGAGUGCGAGGACCUGUAGCUAGUAUUCAUUCUCUUUUUUCUGUCUUUCUUACUGCCCUGAAGUGUGAAUCAUGAAAAUAGGACAACUGUGGUGUUAAAGAUUCUUACAAAGACAUCCUUUCAGUGGCCAAUGAUUUAAACGUGUAAACUUGUAGCUAUUGUUCUCUCCCUCACUCCCUCUUCCUGCCCUCCUUUGUGAAACAUAAGAAAAAAUCAAUGGGUUGAAACCGAAGGUUGUACUGCCAGGGAGUCAGCCUUUCCUACGUGCGACAAACAAAAGCCUAUUAACCAAUAGCUAUCGUUC